CUCACCUGGGGCUCUUGUGAAAACGCAGAAUCUGUUUCGCCAGGUCUGAGGUGGGCCUGGGAUUCUGCAUUUCUCACAAGCUCCCAGGUGAUGCUGC
rnacentral:pre_miRNA from 1 species